UGGAAGGUGGGGUAAGUCCCCGCAAGGAGGGCACCCCUGUUCUUAGUUGCCCGCAAGUUAGGGUGGGAACUCCAGGGAGACUGCCGGUGAUAAACCGGAGGAAGGUGGGGACGACGUCAAGUCAUCAUGGCCCUUACGUCCAGGGCUACACACGUGCUACAAUGGCGCAUACAGAGGGCAGCCAACGUGCGAGAGUGAGCGAAUCCCAAAAACCGCGUCCUGGUCCGGUUGGGGGUCUGCAACUGGCCUCCGGAAGUCGGAAUC
rnacentral:rRNA from 1 species